AGUGAACGCUGGCGGUAGGCCUAACACAUGCAAGUCGAACGGCAGCACAGUAAGAGCUUGCUCUUACGGGUGGCGAGUGGCGGACGGGUGAGGAAUACAUCGGAAUCUACUUUUUCGUGGGGGAUAACGUAGGGAAACUUACGCUAAUACCGCAUACGACCUCCGGGUGAAAGCAGGGGAUCUUCGGACCUUGCGCGAUUGAAUGAGCCGAUGUCGGAUUAGCUAGUUGGCGGGGGAAAGGCCCACCAAGGCGACGAUCCGUAGCUGGUCUGAGAGGAUGAUCGGCCACAUUGGAAGGGAGACACGGACCAUACUCCUACGGGAGGCAGCAGUGGGGAAUAUUGGACAAUGGGCGCAAGCCUGAUCCAGCCAUACCGCGUGGGUGAAGAAGGCCUUCGGGUUGUAAAGCCCUUUUGUUGGGAGAGAAAAGCAGCAGGUUAAUACCCCGCUGUUCUGACGGUACCCAAAGAAUAAGCACCGGCUAACUUCGUG
rnacentral:rRNA from 1 species